rnacentral:piRNA from 1 species
UUCUGGCUGGAACAUUGUGCUAAAUGGC